UGCGUGGCAGUCCUUCGUAUGACCGAACACGUGGCGACGGCCAUCUUUGUUCACGAACAGACAGCAGUGUUUGGUCGUUGAGUGUAUGGAACUAGAAUCAGACACUCAACAGCGUGAACACCGCUGACUUCCAUCCUUUUGUAUCUUCGUUCCCCUUCACGUAUACAGAGCGGCAUUCAUAUGAAAGAAACUAUUGAACAUCAGGCACACGACCCCCUAUUACAUGAACUGUU